GGAGGAGGAGGUGGCAGCAGCCCCCUGACAGGUGAAACCAUGAGUAUGUCUCAGCUGUACACAGACCACUCCCUGAUGACCAUGACUGGCAGGAAGAACUGUCAGUCACCAUAUACUUAGUGCCAGUUUGCCCCUCCAUUCCAUGGAUUAGCGCAGACAAUGAAGUGGAGGAGGUGGAGGGUCAGGAAGAAACCCAUGUGGCUGAUACAUCAUCUACUGCUACCAAGACCCAAGAACAUGCUGAACCAACUAGCAUGGGCAGUGGCAGCUGUGGACCUAUUUCUGAAGUGGGUACUUGUAAGUUUUGGGCAGUAUGAGUGGUGCCCCACUGUUGCAGGGUCUGUUUCCAUACCUGCCGGCAUUUCGUGCACUGCAUGGUGGGGGUGGGGUUGUGUACUUUCCUCCUCUUGGGGGAAGGCAACCAUUGAUUUUUUUCUUUGUUUAUCAGCCACCAUGACUCAUGGACGCCCAGAACAGCUCCCAGGUCACACUACAGCAGAGCACUGCAGAGAUUUUCACAGCAGGUACUGACAGUCCCACAAAAGCUCACUCAAGGUUUUGUCAGAGUCCUCACUAGCCAGAGCAGCAGGCACAGAUGCCUGGCAGGACAAACUCCUUGAGUUGCUGAGUAAGGAUGAUGUCAUCCUUGAGGAAGUGCCAGACACCAUGCAGAAUGUGA